ACAACAUAUUGGUGUUGUGGGAGUUGUACAUUCUGCAUAAGUUGUGUUUUGUGCUUAUGUAUCUUGUAUGUUGUGUAAUAUUGUUUGCACAAUACUUUUUAGGAGCGUCGUGUCCGUCCUUUCGCUACUUCUUCCUAUCCAGUUUUCACACUCUCAGAAAAUAGAUCUAGGGUUGAUGAGAAGAGAGGGUUCUAGAGAGAAAGGUUCGCCGGCCACCGGAUACGCUACCCGGUGGAUUUUGGAUACAUUGAUGAAGUGGGUGUGAGUCCAAAGGAUACCUACCAUAUUGAUGACAAUCAUUAGUAGGAUCAAACCAGAGGCCAUAUAUCCUUCCACAUAUAUGAAGAGCUUCAAGGAGAAGAAACAAAGAACAACGCAACGAUCCACUGAUUUCCACUUCAUUCAAACCCUAACUUCAACGAAGGUCCACCAGAGCAAGUCGUAGAGAUUUCGUCAAUUGUUCAUGCGUGUAAGGGAGAUUCAGUUACGAAGAUGACUAAUGAUGCUUUUAUUUCCAACGGGACUUCUGUGGUUACCCGAGUGAUGAAGAUGACCAACAGAAUUUCUGGUGUCUCAGACUCUCAGCUAAAGGUUGUGGUGUUACGAUAAAGGGAUUUGCUUAUCUCCCAGAAGAGGCUGAUACAGCUCCUGUUGUUGACACAAAGGCUGCUGCUGAUGAAGAUGAUGACAGUGGUGUGGAUCUUUUUGGUGAAGAGACCGAAGAGGAGAAGACGGCUGUUGAAGAUCAUGCAGCUGCAAAGAAGAAAGAAUCUUCUUGAUCCCUAUAGGAAGCUUUUUAUUUGGGGAUUUGAAUUACAUGGGUUUAGGCGAAGCAUUGGUGGAAUGACGGUAUUCUGAGUAGGUGGAGAAUGGAAUUACCUCAACAUCAUCCCCUACUGGGAUACUGAUGAUGAUAGUGAUUGUAAUUCAUUUUAGCUGGCUGCAAGUAAAAGGAAUGGACGAUUUAUCAGCAAGUGUGUGAAGGUUUUAGAAAUGAGUGGCCUAAAGCUUUUUUACAUCGAACCAGAUUAAGCCGCUGACAACACUCUCUACUGUUGUUGAUCUCAAGUACCCGGAGAAAAACGAUCACAUAUUUUAUGGUAAAUGUGGCAGACGGGAGGUGCGUAUCGAUCAGCUUGUAGGAGAAAAAAAGGUUGCUCAAACUUGUGGAUGAAUCCCAGGGUCUGUACAAAAGGCAAUAGUGAGAGAGUUGGCUAUUCUAAAGAAUAAUCUUCGAUGGCACAACACGCAGCCAAGAGGCAGUGUGUCGCCUUUUGGUUCCAACAGAAUAAAACGUGCCAAGCCGGAGCAACCUACCAGAGGGCUAUGACGGCCAUCUUCCAUUAGAUGAUGUAGAGACUAUGUGGAUGACAUAGUAGUCAAAUCCAAGACAAGGGUCAAUCACAUAGAAGUCCCCCCGAUUAGUCUUCGAGAGGCUUAAAAAAUCAAAGAACACAGAGCGGUAAAAUCAAACUCAUGGGUUGGUUAAGCUGAGUGAACUGCCUAGGCGGUUGACUAGGCCUUUGCUCCGGUAGAAUACGAGUACGUUGCCAGGUUUCGAGGAACCCGGCGACGUACUCGGGCUACUUGAUGAAAGAAGGGUUACUCAGACUUUAGUAACAGUUACUGUAUUUAUUCGUCAUCAACAUGUGUUUAUUAGUAUACACAGUUAUUUAUAUCACGGUGUGCUUAUAGUUGUUACUCGGAUUUUUGAUGACUAAAGAAGUAUGAUAAGCUUAAACACAA